rnacentral:lncRNA from 12 species
UAACUGAGCCAGAACUAGUCAUUAAAAAAAGUAGGGCUCAAAUGCAAACUCCUGGGUGAGAUCAGCCUACCACUCCAGCUUGCAACUUGGCAUCAUUUGACCUCUCCUGAAACCAGUCUUUCCCCAGGGCCUCUGGACUCUAAACAAAAGGAAGGUGAUUUCUAAUGAGCCUUUCCCCACCAGAAGCAAUGCUAUAGUCAAACGUAUUAAUUCACAUAGACUUUGAAAUUGAUCACAUAAAGUGAACGGAGCCACUACUUUUCAAAGGACACAUAUGGACCUGAAAUGAUUCCAGGUUUGUAGAAACUUAUGUGUAGCAGAAUACUUGAAGUUCCUCUGGCUGCUGUUACCCUGAAUGCUUUAUCUUAUCAAAAAUAAUGCCUUAAUGCUUUUCUAGCACCACACUUAGUCAGAGGCCAGGCUAGUAGCAGUUUGGACUUUGGAUCCCAUGUUCAAGAACAAAACUCUUCUGAACGACUGAAAGAAUAUCUGCAUGAUUCGUUGAACAAAACUCUUUGUGGAAAACGUACCAACUGGGGAUGCAGGGUCUUCCUUAUCAGAGAAUGGCACUGGAUCAAUGACAGCUCCUUCUAAC